GACACUAUAAAGAGAAAAAAUCUGAACAAACAAAUGAAUUGAACGCAAUGAAUCUGAAUUCACAUGAAAAUCGGUUAUAUAACAAAAUACUAUAGAAAAAAGUUUUCUUUUAAUAAAUAUUAAGCGAUGUGAAAUCUUGAAUGGCAAAAACAUAUUUUUUAUGAUCUGUCCAACGACAAUAAGAACGUUAGCCUUCGAAAAAAGCCAGUUUUGAAGGGAAAAAAUCCAAAUUGGCAGCACUGGACGAAUGCCACAUUGAGAUUCAUCCAUCAUCUGACGAAGCUGUGGACUACUAUAAUUAUAAAGGAUGGUAUUCCACCGUUUUAAUGGCAUUAGUUGAUGCUAAAUACCGUUUUACUUACAUAAACGUAGGAAGUCCCGGGCGAUGUAAUGACUCUCAAAUUUAUGAGACGUCAUCACUUAAAAAAGAAAUGGAUAGUUGUCCUUUACUAAGCGAAAUGUCUAGAGAAAUUUCAGGCGUAAAUGUGCCAGUAUUCAUUAUUGGGGAUUCGCCUUUUCGAUUUAGCAAAUAACUAAUGAAACCGUAUCCAUUUAGCGUAAAUCAAAAUAAUGGUGAGAAGGUAUUCAACUACGCUCUUUCGAAAACACGUAGAGUUGUCGAAAAUACUUUAAGACACCUCAACUCCAUAAUAAAAGCAUCUUGCGUCCUUCACAAUUUUUUAAAUGAUAACAACGAAACGCUAAAGGGUUAAGCGCUUUGGAAGAGUUGGAGACUAGACGCCAGAAUCCGUGUGAUAUUUCAUAUGCAUCUCCACGACCCAAUUAAUGGAGAAAUCGGACAGCACUUUGUACAUAUUUUGCAUCACUCGGCUCGGGAGACGGUACUGGUAGCGAAGAAGUAUCGCUUGGCGACAUCGGCAUAGCUGAGGGCGAUGGUAGGCAAACCGG